UACAGAGGGUGCGAGCGUUAAUCGGAAUUACUGGGCGUAAAGCGUGCGUAGACGGCUAUCUAAGUCGGGUGUGAAAGCCCCGGGCUCAACCUGGGAAUUGCAUUCGAGACUGAAUAGCUAGGGUGCGGUAGAGGGAAGCGGAAUUUCCGGUGUAGCGGUGAAAUGCGUAGAUAUCGGAAGGAACAUCAGUGGCGAAAGCGGCUUCCUGGACCAGCACCGACGUCAGGCACGAAAGCGUGGGGAGCAAACAGGGAAUUAG
rnacentral:rRNA from 1 species